UGGGGAAUUGUUCACAAUGGGCGCAAGCCUGAUGACGCAACGCCGCGUGGAGGAUGAAGGUCUUCGGAUUGUAAACUCCUGUUGCCCGGGACGAACGGCUCCAACCUAACACGUUGGAGAUUGACGGUACCGGGUGAGGAAGCCCCGGCUAACUCUGUGCCAGCAGCCGCGGUAAUACAGAGGGGGCAAGCGUUGUUCGGAAUUACUGGGCGUAAAGGGCGCGUAGGCGGCCCGCUAAGUCGAACGUGAAAUCCCCGGGCUCAACCCGGGAACUGCGUCCGAUACUGGAUGGCUUGAAUCCGGGAGAGGGAUGCAGAAUUCCAGGUGUAGCGGUGAAAUGCGUAGAUAUCUGGAGGAAUACCGGUGGCGAAGGCGGCAUCCUGGACCGGCAUUGACGCUGAGGAGCGAAAGCCAGGGGGAGCAAACGGGAUUAGAUACCCCGGUAGUCCUGGCCCUAAACGAUGAAUGCUUGGUGUGACGGGUAUCGAUCCCUGUCGUGCCGAAGCUAACG
rnacentral:rRNA from 1 species